rnacentral:rRNA from 1 species
GAUGAACGCUGGCGGCGUGCCUAAUACAUGCAAGUCGAGCGAACAGACGAGGAGCUUGCUCCUCUGACGUUAGCGGCGGACGGGUGAGUACACGUGGAUAACCUACCUAUAAGACUGGGAUAACUUCGGGAAACCGGAGCUAAUACCGGAUAAUAUAUUGAACCGCAUGGUUCAAUAGUGAAAGACGGUUUUGCUGUCACUUAUAGAUGGAUCCGCGCCGCAUUAGCUAGUUGGUAAGGUAACGGCUUACCAAGGCAACGAUGCGUAGCCGACCUGAGAGGGUGAUCGGCCACACUGGAACUGAGACACGGUCCAGACUCCUACGGGAGGCAGCAGUAGGGAAUCUUCCGCAAUGGGCGAAAGCCUGACGGGGCAACGCCGCGUGAGUGAUGAAGGUCUUCGGAUCGUAAAACUCUGUUAUUAGGGAAGAACAAAUGUGUAAGUAACUAUGCACGUCUUGACGGUACCUAAUCAGAAAGCCACGGCUAACUACGUG